UACGGAGGUGGCAAGCGUUGCUCGGAAUCACUGGGCGUAAAGGGCGCGUAGGCGGGGAGGUAAGUCGGGUGUGAAAUCCCUCGGCCCAACCGAGGAACUGCGCCCGAGACUGCUUCUCUUGAGUCCCGGAGAGGAAGAUGGAAUUCCCGGUGUAGCGGUGAAAUGUGUAGAGAUCGGGAGGAACACCGGUGGCGAAGGCGGCAUCCUGGACCGACACUGACACUGAGGAGCGAAAGCCAGGGGAGCAAACGGG
rnacentral:rRNA from 1 species